rnacentral:rRNA from 1 species
GACGAACGCUGGCGGCGUGCUUAACACAUACAAGUCGAACGGAAAGGCCCCUUCGGGGGUACUCGAGUGGCGAACAGGUGAGUAACACGUGAGUAACCUGCCCUUGACUUCGGGAUAACUUCAGGAAACUGGGGCUAAUACCGGAUAGGAAUCCUUGCUGCAUGGUGGGGGUUGGAAAGCUUCGGCGGUUUUGGAUGGACUCGCGGCUUAUCAGCUUGUUGGUGGGGUAGUGGCUUACCAAGGCUUUGACGGGUAGCCGGCCUGAGAGGGCGACCGGCCACAUUGGGACUGAGAUACGGCCCAGACUCCUACGGGAGGCAGCAGUGGGGAAUAUUGCACAAUGGGCGGAAGCCGGAUGCAGCAACGCCGCGUGCGGGAUGACGGCCUUCGGGUUGUAAACCGCUUUCAGCAGGGGCGAAGCUUGUGGUGACGGUACCUGCAGAAGAAGCACCGGCUAACUACGUG